CGGUAACAGCUCAAAUUUGAAAUCUGGCUCCUCGGGGCCCGAAUUGUAAUUUGUAGAAGAUGCUUUGGGUCUGGGCCUGGCCUAAGUUCCUUGGAACAGGACGUCGUAGAGGGUGAGAAUCCCGUAUGCGGCUGGCGCCCGUGCCCGUGUAAAGCUCUUUC
rnacentral:rRNA from 1 species